CCUCCUAGAGCGUUUUACAUUUACUCCUUUAGAAUUUGGCCGUGGAUGCCGUUUUUUUGAGCUUAUCGUUUUCUCGUAAUCAUCAUCGCUAUUUUCUUCAGAAGAUGAAUUUGAACUACUGCUCAUGGGAUCAAAACUUUGAGAAAGCAUUACAGGGGAAGAUUCUCUGUCUCCUCCAUCAUCAUCAGAUCCAGUAGUAACAGACUCACUCAUUUGAAGAAAAAAAGAAAUAAUUUAUAAAUAAAUUAAGAGGUGUAAUUAGAAAUAUUGGAAAGAGUGUAAUGAAUGCACUAUUGGUGUUGUACAAUGGAGGUUGUUCACAACCUGUAGUUGAUAAAAGCACGAACUUGUCUUGUUCAAUAGUGUUAGACAGGAUAAAUGUGUUUGAAAAUCCAAGGAUACGAAAGGAAAUUUAUACUUAACGAAGUUAUUACAUUAAAAUUUUCUUUACCUUGAUUGAAACAAAUAUAUACUAUUUUCUUUUGGGUCCUGCAAGGUGAACAGCUAACUUAUAUUCACUCCGCGAGUUGAGAUUGUAAUUUGACUAUACAAGUAUAGAAUUGUGAGUGAAAGAUUCUUUUGACGCGUAA